rnacentral:rRNA from 1 species
AGCGAACGCUGGCGGCAGGCCUAACACAUGCAAGUCGAACGAAGUCUUCGGACUUGUGGCGGGACGGGUGGGUAAAAGGGGGGAACGUGCCUUUAGGUCGGGAUUACCUCAGGGAAACUUGUGCUAAUACCGAAUGUGCCCUCCGGGGGAAAGAUUUAUCGCCUUUAGAGCGGCCCGCGUCUGAUUAGCUAGUUGGUGAGGUAAGGGCUCACCAAGGCGACGAUCAGUAGCUGGUCUGAGAGGAUGAUCAGCCACAUUGGGACUGAGACACGGCCCAAACUCCUACGGGAGGCAGCAGUGGGGAAUCUUGCGCAAUGGGCGAAAGCCUGACGCAGCCAUGCCGCGUGAAUGAUGAAGGUCUUAGGAUUGUAAAAUUCUUUCACCGGGGACGAUAAUGACGGUACCCGGAGAAGAAGCCCCGGCUAACUUCGUGCCAGCCGCCGCCGUAAUAC